UUCACUUUUCACUUCGGACUCAAUCUCAGAGUUUAGAUUGAAUGCUCCUGUCCGUGGUCAUGGGACUCAGUCUCAGUUCUCUACUUGCCUCUCUCAAACUCUCACAGUCUCAAUCCUCAAACCAAUGCUCCAAAUCCAAACCCUAGCCGCCUCCAAUGCCAUAGCCCACUCCCCUCUUCGCCUCCAAUGUCUAGCUGCUGCCGCCGCUGUCCACUCCUCUCUCCGUAGCUACCGCCGGUGCAGACACGGAGGAGAGGAGAAAUAGUCCGUCCACUGCUGCCUCUUCACCGCCGCUCGAUCACUACCGCCUCUUUUCUGCUGCCUCUUGAAGAUUAGCCAACUUAGAUCGGUUUUAGAUUUCUUGUUCUAAUUAAAUAUGUCUUUUUCCAUGUUCUUGAUCUGUUGUUGUUGUUCUAAUUAAUUUUUUUUUAAAAAAUUUUAGAUUGUGUUACCAUUACACUUGGGAGAGAGAAAUGAGCUCGGUUGAGAAGGGAAAGAGUGAAGAAAAAGGAAAGGAGCUGAUUUUUGGGGUCUGCUCUCCCAAAAAUGACUUCGUACUUAAUUUGUUUGUACUGGAGAUGCUCUUAUUAUUUUUUUCUCAAUAUCUAAUUUAUGGUUUAUAUUUUAUUUUUAAUGGGUUUUGUAUAUGGUUAUAGGAUUUUUGAAUAAACUUUCAGGAGUUUCCUAAA